AUCUCUGACAUUUGGCAAGGGGAGAAGGUCCGACCUGUGUAGGGCAUUAUGAAAUGAACAUAUGGAAUCCACUGACUUCAGGAAAUAUUUUCAGAAUGCACACAUAUUUCUUCAAGACGUUAACAUCCCAGGGGAGGAGGAGGAAUAAAAACAUGACAAGGAGUAAUUUAAAAUGGCAGAUUCCUUUCACUUCUCUUCUGCCAUGGAUGUGAUAAUAGUAGCAGGAGGCUUUACAUGAUGAAUCUCAGAAGGAGUCAAGACUAAUUGUAAUGGAAAUGAGGCAACCUGAGGCUGACUUCUGAUGACAAGGCAACCAUCUAUAAGUGCUGCUGACCUGUUCCACUUGUAUACUUAGACUUGUGUGUUUUCUUAUUUUGGACAUGUGUCUUAAAAAUUCCUAGAACACUUUUUUAUUCCCAAGAACGCCUACUGAAAAUGUAACAUUCCUUAUAAAUGAAUGAUUUGAUAAAAUGAACUAUUUGCCUUCCCUUAAACAACCCCUUAAUAUAUUUGCAUAUUUUCUUGACCAUAUAUGUUUUAUCAUGUUUGUUUCUGAAACUGGGAUACAAUGCCGAAAUCGAUGUCAAAAGAAACUUGCUUCCUGAAGGCAGAGGACUGAGUUGUUUUGUAGCUGUCAGUGCCUGCACAUGUGUGAAUUUAGCCUUGUAGGUAUUUUUAUAAUUGUCAGUUCAUUUGACUUAUUCACAUCAUGAUCACACAAGCCAUUGCCUUAUAAAUGAAAUAUAUAUCCUUCAUUGUUGCUUAACAUGACUUCAUAAAGUCAGUGCUUUGAAGCAACAUUGAUGUGAAGAGUUUUUGUCUAUGUGGGAAGGUUACUUGUCAUGGGCAAUAAUUUUUGCUCACUAUAUGUGGCCAGAAUGUAGAACCAUGUCUCGUAUUAACUGUGGAGUUGUAUCUUUGUGUCUUGAGGCAGAGUUAGGUUUCAUGUCGUAGCAUUAGGCAAAAGUUACAUGUUGAUAAUAUUACCUUUGAAAGUUUACUUAAACCAGUCCCUGUUAGAUCAGAUUGAUAUUACUAAGGUUGAGUAAUAGUUAACUAGUUGUAAGGUGAACUCAUUCUAAAUUCCUGCUUUAACCAUGCUUUGUGUGACUACAUUUAUUUUAUCACCUUAACUGUGCUUUGUACGACCAUACAUUUUAUCAUCUCACCUCAGAUAACCAACCAAUUCUUCAUUGUAAAUGGAUUUCUGUA